GAUGAACGCUGGCGGCGUGCCUAAUACAUGCAAGUCGAGCGAACAGAUGAGGAGCUUGCUCCUCUGACGUUAGCGGCGGACGGGUGAGUAACACGUGGAUAACCUACCUAUAAGACUGGGAUAACUUCGGGAAACCGGAGCUAAUACCGGAUAAUAUAUUGAACCGCAUGGUUCAAUAGUGAAAGACGGUUUUGCUGUCACUUAUAGAUGGAUCCGCGCCGCAUUAGCUAGUUGGUAAGGUAACGGCUUACCAAAGCAACGAUGCGUAGCCGACCUGAGAGGGUGAUCGGCCACACUGGAACUGAGACACGGUCCAGACUCCUACGGGAGGCAGCAGUAGGAAAUCUUCCGCAAUGGGCGAAAGCCUGACGGAGCAACGCCGCGUGAGUGAUGAAGGUCUUCGGAUCGUAAAACUCUGUUAUUAGGGAAGAACAAAUGUGUAAGUAACUAUGCACGUCUUGACGGUACCUAAUCAGAAAGCCACGGCUAACUACGUG
rnacentral:rRNA from 1 species